rnacentral:rRNA from 1 species
AUUGAACGCUGGCGGCAGGCUUAACACAUGCAAGUCGAACGGUAACAUAAAGAAGCUUGCUUCUUUGAUGACGAGUGGCGGACGGGUGAGUAAUGCUUGGGAAUCUAGCUUAUGGAGGGGGAUAACUACGGGAAACUGUAGCUAAUACCGCGUAAUAUCGAAAGAUUAAAGUGUGGGACCUUCGGGCCACAUGCCAUAAGAUGAGCCCAAGUGGGAUUAGGUAGUUGGUGAGGUAAAGGCUCACCAAGCCGACGAUCUCUAGCUGGUCUGAGAGGAUGACCAGCCACACUGGGACUGAGACACGGCCCAGACUCCUACGGGAGGCAGCAGUGGGGAAUAUUGCGCAAUGGGGGCAACCCUGACGCAGCCAUGCCGCGUGAAUGAAGAAGGCCUUCGGGUUGUAAAGUUCUUUCGGUAGCGAGGAAGGCAUUUAGUUUAAUAGACUAGGUGAUUGACGUUAACUACAGAAGAAGCACCGGCUAACUCCGUGCCAGCAGCCGCGGUAAUACGGAGGGUGCGAGCGUUAAUCGGAAUAACUGGGCGUAAAGGGCACGCAGGCGGUGACUUAAGUGAGGUGUGAAAGCCCCGGGCUUAACCUGGGAAUUGCAUUUCAUACUGGGUCGCUAGAGUACUUUAGGGAGGGGUAGAAUUCCACGUGUAGCGGUGAAAUGCGUAGAGAUGUGGAGGAAUACCGAAGGCGAAGGCAGCCCCUUGGGAAUGUACUGACGCUCAUGUGCGAAAGCGUGGGGAGCAAACAGG